UACGAAGGGGGCUAGCGUUGCUCGGAAUCACUGGGCGUAAAGCGCACGUAGGCGGAUCGCUAAGUCAGGGGUGAAAUCCUGGAGCUCAACUCCAGAACUGCCUUUGAUACUGGCAAUCUCGAGUCCGGGAGAGGUGGGUGGAACUGCGAGUGUAGAGGUGAAAUUCGUAGAUAUUCGCAAGAACACCAGUGGCGAAGGCGGCUCACUGGCCCGGUACUGACGCUGAGGCGCGAAAGCUAGGGGAGCAAACGG
rnacentral:rRNA from 1 species